rnacentral:rRNA from 1 species
GACGAACGCUGGCGGCGUGCUUAACACAUGCAAGUCGAGCGGUAAGGCCCCUUCGGGGGUACACGAGCGGCGAACGGGUGAGUAACACGUGAGCAAUCUGCCCUUCACACGGGGAUAACUCCGGGAAACCGAAGCUAAUACCCGAUACGACCACCUCGGGCAUCUGAUGGUGGUGGAAAGUUCCGGCGGUGAAGGAUGAGUCUCGCGGCCUAUCAGCUUGUUGGUGGGGUAACGGCCCACCAAGGCAACGACGGGUAGCCGGCCUGAGAGGGUGCACGGCCACACUGGGACUGAGACAAGGCCCAGACUCCUACGGGAGGCAGCAGUGGGGAAUAUUGGACAAUGGGCGAAAGCCUGAUCCAGCAACGCCGCGUGAGGGAUGACGGCCUUCGGGUUGUAAACCUCUUUCAGCAGGGACGAAGCGCAAGUGACGGUACCUGCAGAAGAAGCACCGGCCAACUACGUGCCAGCAGCCGCCGUAAUAC